UGGCAGAUUAUAUGUAAUGGAUUUAAACCCCAUUUAUAA
rnacentral:tRNA from 2 species